rnacentral:rRNA from 1 species
GAUGAACGCUAGCUACAGGCUUAACACAUGCAAGUCGAGGGGUAACGAGAGGAAAGCUUGCUUUCCUUGUCGACGACCGGCGCACGGGUGAGUAACGCGUAUCCAACCUGCCCCCAACUAGGGAAUAACCUUGCGAAAGUAAGCCUAAUACCCUAUAAUUUCCUCAGAUGACACCUGACGAUGAAUAAAGAUUUAUCGGUUGUGGAUGGGGAUGCGUCUGAUUAGCGUGUUGGCGGGGUAACGGCCCACCACGGCAACGAUCAGUAGGGGUUCUGAGAGGAAGGUCCCCCACAUUGGAACUGAGACACGGUCCAAACUCCUACGGGAGGCAGCAGUGAGGAAUAUUGGUCAAUGGGCGGAAGCCUGAACCAGCCAAGUAGCGUGCAGGAUGACGGCCCUAUGGGUUGUAAACUGCUUUUAUACAGGAAUAAAGUUAGCCACGUGUGGUUAUUUGUAGGUACUGUAUGAAUAAGGACCGGCUAAUUCCGUGCCAGCCGCCGCAGUAA